rnacentral:rRNA from 1 species
AGCGAACGCUGGCGGCAGGCUUAACACAUGCAAGUCGAGCGGGCCCUUCGGGGUCAGCGGCGGACGGGUGAGUAACGCGUGGGAACGUGCCUUCUGGUCUGGAAUAACCCUGGGAAACUAGGGCUAAUACCGGAUACGCCCUUUUGGGGAAAGGUUUACUGCCGGAAGAUCGGCCCGCGUCUGAUUAGCUAGUUGGUGGGGUAACGGCCUACCAAGGCGACGAUCAGUAGCUGGUCUGGGAGGAUGAUGAGCCACACUGGGACUGAGACACGGCCCAGACGCCUACGGGGGGCAGCAGGGGGGAAUAUUGGACAAGGGGCGCAAGCCUGAUCCAGCCAUGCCGCGUGAGUGAUGAAGGCCUUAGGGUUGAAAAGCUUUUUUACCCGGGACGAUAAGGACGGUACCGGAGGAAUAAGCCCCGGCUAACUUCGUGCCAGCAGCCGCAGUAA